AAGUGGAUUUACUAGCUUACCGAGCACGUUCAAAGGCACCACAUUUCCAAAUUGUGUCCUCUAUGCACCACGGCAGCUUUCGGACAUGAAACUUCGCGAGCGAGCUUCGCACGUAAAACACAGCACGAGAAUAAAUAAUGAAAAGUCCACUUUGUUUUGGCAUUGGCCAGCUUUCACAGCGUGCUUGGGUCUGGGAUACGCCAGUGAUGUGUCCAACGACACUUGAACAACAAUAUCCGGGUAAUCAGAAGGAAGACAAGAAAUGGAAACAUUAACGGUGCUCUCACUUGGCUCAUUCAAUCAGAAAAACAAAAUUUUGUUGUCAGCUU